CGGGUUGAAUCGGGUCUGGUCAGAUCAGAUACAGUCGACAAUAUAUAAUCUAGUCGCAAUCCCAAAAAGAGGUAUGUCACGGAGAAACAGGCGAACGAUACAUAUCGGUAACACGUUCGAAGAAUUGUAAUUGGGCAUGAUCCUGUUUGAUGAAGUUAUCGUAAGAAAUAGUCAGGGCAAUUAGCCUGUUCAAUAAUUACUGAUACUUGCCCUGAUCAUUGAAAAACAACAAACACGAAGGAAACAGAAUAUUAUCAAACUGGUGUACAUAAACUAUCAGAGAUGAAUUUGAUGACCUACCUCGUGCGAAUUGCAUUUAGAAAAUCAUCCAGCCUCCUAGAAGAAAUUCACCGUCCGCCAAGGGUAUCAUGAAAACGCGUUACGAUAUUUCUUUGAAGAAACGAUUCAACGUGAAUACAAUGAAAUUUCGAAAGUGACAAAGCAAUAAUAGUACUCCUUAAAAGUAACCAAAAAAAAAAAAAAAGAAAAUAAAAGAAAAUUAA